rnacentral:rRNA from 1 species
GAGUUUGAUCCUGGCUCAGGAUGAACGCUGGCGGCUUGCUUAACACAUGCAAGUCGAACGGACCCAUAUUGAAACCUAGUGAUAUAUGGGUUAGUGGCGGACGGGUGAGUAACGCGUGGGUAACCUGCCGUACACAGGGGGAUAACACUUAGGAAUAGGUGCUAAAACCGCAUAAGCGCACAGCUUCGCAUGAAGCGGUGUGAAAAACUCCGGUGGUGUAAGAUGGACCCGCGUCUGAUUAGCUUGUUGGCGGGGUAACGGCCCACCAAGGCGACGAUCAGUAGCCGGCCUGAGAGGGCGGACGGCCACAUUGGGACUGAGACACGGCCCAGACUCCUACGGGAGGCAGCAGUGGGGAAUAUUGCACAAUGGGGGAAACCCUGAUGCAGCGACGCCGCGUGAGUGAAGAAGUAAUGCAGUUACGUAAAGCUCUAUCAGCAGGGAAGAAAUGACGGUAC